AAAAAAAAAAAAGACUGGGAUAACUUCGGGAAACCGGAGCUAAUACCGGAUAAUAUAUUGAACCGCAUGGUUCAAUAGUGAAAGACGGUUUUGCUGUCACUUAUAGAUGGAUCCGCGCCGCAUUAGCUAGUUGGUAAGGUAACGGCUUACCAAGGCAACGAUGCGUAGCCGACCUGAGCAGGUGAUCGGCCACACUGGAAUGAAGAAACGGUCAAGACGCGUACGGGAGGCAGCAGUAGGGAAUGUUCCGCAAUGGGCGAAAGCCUGACGGAGAAACUUUUUGUUUGUAAUGAUGGUCCGCCCACCGAGAUCUACACAAGGUG
rnacentral:rRNA from 1 species